CCUGGGCACCUGGUGGGAUUGCAUUCACAGUUCCUCAAAGUGACCAAGUGAUUUGCAUUGAGCAUUGAAAGAUAUCCCCCUGGGGCACCGGCCUAGAACAGAGCAACAAAUAUUUACUAAUUCCAUUAACAGAAGAGAGUUGGAAUUUUUUUUUCCCAAGCGAAUAUCCGAGGCCCCAAGUUCAUGGUGAGCCCUCUCCCCCGCAUGGCCCCCUCUCCCCCCACCUCCUCCCUACACGCCCAGGACUUAUAUAUAGUUCACUCAGUGCCAUUUCCCCAAUUUUUUUCUGAAGUUCAAGACAAGUUGAAGGGUCAAAAAGGCAAAGGGUGUUUUAGAAGUUUAGCAGACAGCUUUUGGUACAAGGAAAAGAGAGGGAGAGCUGGAGAGAGGGAAACAGGGUGAAGAGGCAGGAAUCUGGCUCGCAUUAAGCUGGGAGGUUCCAACCAUUGAUUCGCUCUGGAAUUAUGGCUUAAAAAAAUUGCAAGACAUGGUUUAUUCAUGAGGGUUCUUUUUUUUUCUUAAGUAGCCACCCAAAGUUACACUUUGGUUCACCAAGACGAAGACUCAUCCUUCCUCUCUCUAUGGAUCUUUCAGCAACUUAAUAUAAGCUAAGGAAUGCAAAAGAUUGCCAGCAAAUGACCAGAAGCUAGAGGGGAGGCAUGGAACAGAUCUUCUCUCACAGCCUCAGAAGGAACUAGCCCUACUGACAGCUCGAUCUCAGACUUCUAGACUCCAGACUGGUGAGACAACAUAUUUCUGUUGUUUAAGCCACCCAGUUUGUGGCAAUUUGUUACGGCAGACCAGCAAAUGAAUACAGGAUCUCUACAAAAUACACUCACCUUUCAGGCAGGCCAAGAGGAUUGUUUACUGUCAGAGCUCCAAGCCCGGAACUUACUCACACACCAAAAAAGGGGCAUGGAAGUGGGAGCAAGGAUGGAGUCACGAUCCCAAAGUCCCGGAGCAUCUUCUCCACACAUUCAUGAGAGUCAGGCACAGGUUUUUAUCUCAUGCCCACAUUCAGGGGGCCAUCAUCCUGAGCCUGCACCCCCAGAGAAAGUGAGGCCCAGGAAUUUGUGAGUUUGUUGUUGCUUGUGUUACCGAAUAUCCAUGAACUGCAAAAUGGCACCAUGACCUAAUGAAGUAUUAACCCUGCCUCAUCACUGCACAUCAACCAUGAAAGCAGGCUCUUCUUGGCCAGGGCUGUUUCAAGGAGAUUUAGGAAUAUAUUUGAGGCUUCUGAAGGAUAGUUGGAAAUUAGGGGGUCUGCAAAUGGACCUCCAAGAACUCAGGACAGGGGACAUGGACCAGAAGCACCCCCUGAUCUGCCUGGGGUCUCCAACAUACUGUUCUUCCCUCCCACCCCUUUCAAGGGCUAUCCAACGUUGGAAAGAAUAAAAACUCAGAGUCAAUAGAUCUGGGUUUACAUCACAGCUUUACUCAUGAGACAUGAGACAAAUGACUUAGUCCUUCUGAGCCUCAGUUUUCUCCUCUGUAAAAUGGGAAUAAUCAUUGUAGAUGCUUCACAGAGUUGUGAAAACAUAAUGGGUAUCUAUCUAUCUAUCUAUCUAUCUAUCUAUCUAUCUAUCUGGAAUGAAAAUGCACCUGGCUCAUAGUAGACACUUGUUAACUCGAAGCUGCUUUAUUUUUGUUGUUGAUUUCUUAUUGUGAUUUUUUGUGACA
rnacentral:lncRNA from 10 species